rnacentral:rRNA from 1 species
CUAGUUGGUGAGGUAAUGGUUCACCAAGGCGACGAUCCCUAGCUGGUCUGAGAGGAUGAUCAGCCACACUGGAANUGAGACACGGUCCAGAUUCCUACGGGAGGCAGCAGUGGGGAAUAUUGCACAAUGGGCGCAAGCCUGAUGCAGCCAUGCCGCGUGUGUGAAGAAGGCCUUCGGGUUGUAAAGCACUUUCAGUCGUGAGGAAGGUAGUGUAGUUAAUAGCUGCAUUAUUUGACGUUAGCGACAGAAGAAGCACCGGCUAACUCCGUGCCAGCAGCCGCGGUAAUACGGAGGGUGCGAGCGUUAAUCGGAAUUACUGGGCGUAAAGCGCAUGCAGGUGGUUUGUUAAGUCAGAUGUGAAAGCCCGGGGCUCAACCUCGGAAUAGCAUUUGAAACUGGCAGACUAGAGUACUGUAGAGGGGGGUAGAAUUUCAGGUGUAGCGGUGAAAUGCGUAGAGAUCUGAAGGAAUACCGGUGGCGAAGGCGGCCCCCUGGACAGAUACUGACACUCAGAUGCGAAAGCGUGGGGAGCAAACAGGAUUAGAUACCCUGGUAGUCCACGCCGUAAACGAUGUCUACUUGGAGGUUGUGGCCUUGAGCCGUGGCUUUCGGAGCUAACGCGUUAAGUAGACCGCCUGGGGAGUACGGUCGCAAGAUUAAAACUCAAAUGAAUUGACGGGGGCCCGCACAAGCGGUGGAGCAUGUGGUUUAAUUCGAUGCAACGCGAAGAACCUUACCUACUCUUGACAUCCAGAGAACUUUCCAGAGAUGGAUUAGUGCCUUCGGGAACUCUGAGACAGGUGCUGCAUGGCUGUCGUCAGCUCGUGUUGUGAAAUGUUGGGUUAAGUCCCGCAACGAGCGCAACCCUUAUCCUUGUUUGCCAGCGAGUAAUGUCGGGAACUCCAGGGAGACUGCCGGUGAUAAACCGGAGGAAGGUGGGGACGACGUCAAGUCAUCAUGGCCCUUACGAGUAGGGCUACACACGUGCUACAAUGGCGCAUACAGAGGGCAGCAAGCUAGCGAUAGUGAGCGAAUCCCAAAAAGUGCGUCGUAGUCCGGAUUGGAGUCUGCAACUCGACUCCAUGAAGUCGGAAUCGCUAGUAAUCG